UACGUAGGGGGCAAGCGUUGUCCGGAUUUAUUGGGCGUAAAGAGCGUGUAGGCGGUUUGGUAGGUCCGUUGUGAAAACUCGAGGCUCAACCUCGAGACGUCGGUUGAAACCGUAUGGCUAGAGUCCGGAAGAGGAGAGUGGAAUUCCCGGUGUAGCGGUGAAAUGCGCAGAUAUCAGGAAGAACACCCGUGGCUAAGGCGGCUCUCUAGUACGGUACUGACGCUGAGACGCGAAAGCGUGGGGAGCGAACAGG
rnacentral:rRNA from 1 species